rnacentral:lncRNA from 1 species
AGAAGGUGACUGUGACAUCCCCAAAUUUCACGGCCAGAAAAGACCGGUCUUUUUAUGCUUUAUUCUAAAAUCAGAGUAUAUUUUUAAAGAAAUGUGUUGCGGAAUUUGUACCAAAAAAUAUGAUAAAGAAUUUAUCAAAGCAUUUCCGAAGAAAUUUAUUUUCAUUAAAUUACAAAUCUCUGGAUGUCAAUGUCAGUACAGAUCAAAAGCAUAAACAAAAACAACAUAGGCCUCACAAAUAUUCCUUUAUUUUUACUGGCAUAUAAUCCAUAAUCUCUCAUCAGAUCUUCGCAUCUAUACUCUUGUGUCAGUACCUGUAAUACAAAAAACUGAGUGAGUCAGUCUUGGGAGCCUGGUGACCACGUAGGGUUUUAAACCCCCAAUAAAGAAGUUUAUUAUUUUCAAUAACCAUUCAACCUGAUUACCCAUUCUCGUUACCCUUACUUUACGUCCCUAAAGCAUCUAUUAUAAGGGACCUAGCCUAAGGACUUUUUCAUCGGGAUGACAACACUGCUUAGGGGAUUCCUCAACAAACAAUGUCAAAUAAGGCAACCAUGAGGGGGAUGGAGUACACCUAGUGAACACAUAGUUCAAAUAAACACCUAUAGGUUGCGAGCCAACUAGAGUUCCAUUGGAUUGUCUAGAAAAGUAUGUGGUCGUCAUCCAUACUCCGCUAGAUGACUAGAUCAUCGUCAACAUCGAGGCCUCUCAUCAUUUUAUUUCAUCAAUUAUCAACUAUUUCAUAUACCCAUGUUUUACCCAACAUAUUUGUAGCUAUAAAAUACAUAUACAGUUUAGAUCUGAAAAAAACCGGUUUAAAUCUUUCAUCCAACAUAGAUCUCAAGAUAUAAAACACAUAUACAAUUUAGAUCUGAAAAAAGGGUUUAAAUCUUUCAUCCAACAUAGAUCUCAAGAUAUAAAAUACAUAUACAGUUUAGAUCUGAAAAAAAAGGGUUUAAAUCUUUCAUCCAGCAUAAAUCUCAAGGUAUAAAAAACAUAUACAGNUAUAUAUAUAUAUAGAUAAUAUGCACACAUAUCACGUAAUUUAUACAAAAUACUUCAUAUCUAUGUUUAAGAUGAAAGUAACUAUGCAUUCACUUGAUAAGGUGGUGAUUCCAACUUGGACAGCGCUUCGCUUCGAUGAAACUGGAAGGUUUGCUUGAAUACCGGGCUCUACGGGGGCAGAGUUCCUAGCCUAAUAACGCUUUUUCUUGGAGGCUCCGGGUGCUCCAGGGCUUUAUUAUAGUGCUAGGGAAGUUUCCUAUGCUUGGGGGUGUUUGGGAGGUUUCGAGAGAGAGAGCAGAGAGAAAGAAUUGGUUUAAUGUGUGAAGAAUAAAGGAACUCUCAGUUGUUAUUUAUAGGCUGGAAAUGAGUCCAAAUCGUCGAGUUUUUCCUCCAAUUCGUCGAUUUGGUGCCACUUGUCACCAUCUGGUGGCAAAGCAUGGGGAGAAAGAAAGGGCUCAGAUUGCGCCACGUCACCCACUUGAGAGCAACACCUUCCGACUUCUAAAUUCCAUAACUUUGGCAUACGAGCUCCGUUUUCGACGUUCUUUAUAUCCACGCGUAGGUGGGAACGUACUCUACAACUUUCUCUUAGACUAUGUCAGCUAUUUUUGAAUUUAUUUUUAAAGAUAUAUUUUUAACAUGUCGGGACAAAAAAAAGUCCGUUAAAAGUUCAUAACUUUGUCAUCCGACGUCAAAUUUCGUCUGUCUUUUUAUCGUUGAGCUCCUAUUGUCGAGAUUUUCGAUUCUUGUUUAGGUUGUGUCGGCUAAAAUUCGAUCAAUCUAAAAUUUGGACAUUAUUUUUAUGCACGCUCUCGGUUUAACGUAUACUACGACUUUCUUUUAGAUCGAUAAGGCUAAAAAGUAAUUUGUCAAAAAUUAAUUUUUGUGUUACGCGGUGCCGUGUCGGUUUAGCCGUAAAACUUCGAUACGUCAUAACUUUUUCGUUAUAACUCGGAUUUCAGCAUUCUUUAUAUCUCUUGAAUCCUUGUCACAACCACUACAACUUUCUUCACAGAUAUCGGGUUUAUCUAUAUAUGUUUAUUUUUUGACGCUUAUUUCAUUUUUAAUUUGUUAUAUCUUAUAAAUAAGUAUAAUGCACAUAAAAUCACAUAACUCACAUAAUACUCAAGUAAUUCCUCUUUAUUACUUCAAAAUAAGUUACAUUUGUUGACCCUAACUAUUACAUCAUCAUACUAAAGCUUAGCCUAGAAACACGGGCGUUACGAUUCUCUCCCCCAUAGGAUGAUUCGUCCCAGAAUCAUCAACAAAACGGGGCUUGUAAAAUGACUCCAUACAUUAUCUCUUCAUCCUAAGUAAUAACCGUAACUUCUAUCUUCCUUCGAAUGAGUAUCUAACUCUUGGACUUCUUGACUGCUGGCGGUGCUCGAUCUUACACCCAAUCUCUAUCUCAUGUUAGACUUUCAAUCGCGACCUUUUUAGUCACAAUCUUGAUCCCUAUUGGAGACUCAUUCUUCUUCUUAACAAACUUAAGAAAAGUUCUUUCCUUCGAUUACCAUAAUAGACCGAUGGGUCAUGUUCUAAUGACGUCUCAUCGUAUGAUUCAAUGCUUAGACUUAGGUCUCUUGGGGUUAAAUUCUAGAACGAAAUAUACCUUCCUUCAUGUUCUAAUGUGAUAUAAUCACAUUCUAGCAUGAAUCACUUCUAGCUACAAGCUUCUUACUUUAACAACGAUUGAGAUACUUCUUUUGAUCGGUUCGAUUAUCUUUCACUUCAAUCGUCUGGUUUAAGUCAAAUGCUACAUCGAUCUUGGUUCCCUGAACCACAUAACAUACUCAUCUUAGUUGGAACCGAUAUGAUAUGACCUCUAGGGUCGGAAUAACAAUCAUCUUAGUCAUUACCAAAACGAUGGUAACGACAUACUUGAACAAAACGGAAUUAAUUACUAGCUUCUUGGUAACCUUGUGACUUUCCCUGAUCCAAGUGCGAGUCUUGUGCUUCCGGUAGUAUAGACCUCUACUACCAUUCACACCUACUCAUACUCAUCCCAAGUAUUAUCUCGCAGCUUUCCAGGUCAUCAUACAAGAAUUUCACAUAGUCAUUUAUCACAAUGGAUAACAUAAUCAAGCUUUAUAUUAUUUCUUGAAAUGAUUACAUAGGUGUUUAAGUUCACCCUACACUAGGCCUCUUAUAAUAAGCUACUCCAUAUCCCGAUAUAUGGAUAUAUAGAUCCUCACUCACGAUCUAUUGCAUUGGCACCUUCUUCAUCGAGGAUCAUGUGGAAUGCUCUUGCCUUUGGCUUUGGCGGAACAUUAGGCCUUAGUGCCUCCUUCUUAUUCGGGCAGUCUUUCGAAAUGUGCCCAUCUUCGUUACAUCCAUAGCACACCCUCUUGUUGGAUGUGCACUCGUUAGUGUAAUGCCCAAUCAUUCCACACUUGUAGCAAGUCAACUCUUCACUAUAUUUACCGAAGUGUUUCUUUCUACACUUCUCACACCACUUAGCUUUGCCUCCUUCUCCUUCUCCUUCAAAUAUCCUUGAACCAAACUUGCUCCUCUUGUUGGACCUUGGAAAUCCAUCAAACUUCCUUUUAUCACCAACUUCAUCCUUGCUGGAGGCUCUUCCAUUGAUCAUCUCCUCAACAGACUUGGCAGCCCAGAUAGCUGCCUGAAGAGUAGGUGAUUGGUGUACUAGCACGACAUACUCCCAUGGAUGUCUCUUUGCGUACUUGUCGAUUUUCGUCAGCUCGUCUGGGACGAUGCACAAAGCAAACUCCAUUUUGUCUGUGAAGGUGUUGGUCUAUUCAUCAAAGGACAUGCUUUCCUUCUUCAAUGUCAGGAAUCGGUUCUCCAGCUCCAACAGAUUUUUGGCUGAGCAAUACUUGCAUUUAAAGUGUACCAAAAACUAUGCCCAUGUUAUUUGUAGUGGCUCAUUGGGGCUUAUGGUCUUCCCUAUAAUGUUCCACCAGCGAACAGCGCUACCUCUGAACUGACUUACUACAUAUGUGGUUUGUAGAUUGCCCUUGCAACCACAUGUUAUAGAGGCCUACUCCAUUUCCGAGAUCCAGUCUAUAAAUCUAAUUGGAUCUUCUUUCCCAGUGAAAGUUGAUGUCUUGCAAGUUGUGAAGUCCUUAUGCUUGCAUUCGUUCCUCUCAACACCUUCAUCUUUGUUGUUCCUCCUAACCACUGGUGGUUCAGCUUGACCAACGGUCCUACUAUAAUUCCCUUCUUUCGACUGUCCUUCAUUCAGUUCUAGUUGUUCAACAGGUAUAGAAGUUUCAUCCAUAUUGUUUAGCAACAUUUGCCUCAUGUCUUCCCUCUGUUCAGCCAUCAUACCUCGAAUCAUGGCUUGUACUCCAGCCAUCGUGACUAGCUCAGGUGCAACUUCUUCUAUCGGCACAUGCUCAAUCCCUUGGGAUUGAGGCUGCUGAUUUCUGUUCCCAUUUGUGUUUCCGAGUGUACUUCGGGUUCUCACCAUGUUUAUAUAUACACCAAAGUAGGUGAACUUAGAUAUUUAUUUAUGAUAGAUGUUUAAAUCCUCUUUAUCACUCUGAAACGUUACAUGUUAGUUCUAAUAUCGUAGUCGAACGUUUAGAAUCCUGAACACAUAAGGUUUCCAGAUCCGGUCGACAGCAGACCAUACAUCCGAUCAAAUAAUAUCAUAUAAGGCAUCUUUAUAGCUAUAACAUAAAUCAUUUAGCACAUAAAAGCAUUUUAGGCAUCUUUCCUAAAAUAAACUAGUGCUCGUGUCGAAAAUAUGGUAGACACUCAUCUCACGAUCAUCGCUUAGCAUUAUAAACUUAAGUCUAAAAAUCAUAGAAAUCCCUAGUUCGCAUAAACUAAUGCUCUGAUACCAACAGUGAUAUUCCUAAAUUUCACGGCCAAAAAAUACCGAUCUAUUUAUGCUUUAUUCAAAAAUCAUAGUAUAUUUUUAAAGAAAUAUGAUGCAGAAUAUGUUCCAAAAAAUAUGAUAAAUAAUUAACCAAAUUUUCAUUGAAUUACAAAUCUCGGGAUGUCAUUGUCAAUACAAAUCAAAAGCAUAACAAAAACAACAUAGGCCUCACAAAUAUUCCAUUUGUUUCUACUGGCCUAUAAUCCAUAAUCUCUCAUCAGAUCUUCGCAUCUAUACUCUUGUGUCACUACCUGUAAUACAAGAAACUAAAUGGGUCAGGCUUGGAAGCCUGGUGAGCACAUAGGGUUUUCAAUCCACAAUAAAUUAGUUUAUUAUUUUCAACAAUCAUUCACCCGAUUAUCCGUUCCCGUUAUCCUGACUUGACGUCCCUAAAGUGUCUAUUAUAAGGGGCAUAGCCUAAGGAUUCUUCAUCGGGAUGACAACACUGCUUAGGGGAUUCCUCAGCAAACAAUGUAAAAUAAGGUAACCAUGAGGGGGAUGGAUUAUACCUGGUGAACACGUAGUUCAAAUAAACACCUACAGGUUGCGAGCCUGCUAGCGUUCCACUGGACUGUCUAGAAAAGACUGUGGUAGUCAUCCAUACUCC